rnacentral:rRNA from 2 species
GACCUCGGAUCAGGCCAGGCUACCCGCUGAAUUUAAGCAUAUUAAUAAGCGGAGGAAAAGAAACUAACAAGGAUUCCCUCAGUAACGGCGAGCGAAGCGGGAAUAGCUCAAAUUUGAAAUCUCCGGUGCGUGCACCGGCGAAUUGUAGUCUGUAGGGCCAGUUUCGCCCGAGACGGUGUCCCCAAAGUCGUCCUGGAAAGGCGGGCCGGAGAGGGUGAGAGCCCCGUGCGCGGGGGCACCGUCGGAGGUAAGAUCUGUGCCCGAAGAGUCGGGUUGUUUGGGAUUGCAGCCCAAAAUGGGUGGUAAACUCCAUCUAAAGCUAAAUACUGGCACGAGACCGAUAGCGAACAAGUACCG